rnacentral:rRNA from 1 species
GGCUUAGGAUGAACGCUAGCGACAGGCUUAACACAUGCAAGUCGAGGGGCAGCAUAGAAGUAGCAAUACUUGGUGGCGACCGGCGCACGGGUGAGUAACGCGUAUGCAACCUACCUAUCGAGAGGGGAAUAACCCGGCGAAAGUCGGACUAAUACCGCAGUAAAACAGGGGCACCGCAUGGUGAUAUUUGUUAAAGAAAUUCGCUGAUAGAUGGGCAUGCGUUCCAUUAGGUAGUUGGUGAGGUAACGGCUCACCAAGCCGACGAUGGAUAGGGGAACUGAGAGGUUGGUCCCCCACACUGGUACUGAGACACGGACCAGACUCCUACGGGAGGCAGCAGUGAGGAAUAUUGGUCAAUGGGCGGGAGCCUGAACCAGCCAAGUCGCGUGAAAGGAAGAAGGAUCUAUGGUUCGUAAACUUCUUUUGCAGGGGAAUAAAGUGCAGGACGUGUCCUGUCUUGUAUGUACCCUGAGAAUAAGGAUCGGCUAACUCCGUGCCAGCCGCCGC